UCCUAUACUUAAUAUCUAUAUAUUUCAGUUCCAUGUAAAAUAUCAAUUAGACCAAUUCUUACAAAAAUGAAAAACUUAAUUCUUAGUGUACCAUAUGAACUGCUAGUCAAAUAUGUUCAUCACAUGAUCGAUCAAUCCUCCACAAAAUGUUUUUGGAGAUCUAAGAGAUAAUAUUGACCAAUCGGUCCUACUUUUGCACAUGACCGCUCAAUCACAAACUCAUUAGAGACAAGCCAUUCAUUUGAACAAUGGUUGAUGAAUCUAGAGAUAUUCGAACCCGCCACUACAAAACAUUACAAAAACAUUGUUAUUACUUACCAAAGAAAUGUAACUAAAUAAAAUAUCAAAACUUUAACUUACCUUUGGGUUUCUGGAAGCCAUUAAAACUGCACAAAAAAUCAAUGGUGGAUUAGGGUUCACAAAACACAUAAAGAAUAAAUAACGUUAAAGAGAACGAAAGAGAAGUCAGACAAUGCGAAAGAGAGCAAAAAGCCGAAACAGAGCCACAACGCCAUACCCAAAACGCGAUACGCGAAAGAGAGCUUACCUCAAUAGAAUGAUUGUGAAAGAACUCUUGUUUUGGUUGAAAUGAGGCCUUCGGAUGAGAUGAAAGCCGAAUGGAGAAUGCAAGGAAUUGGAGAGAUGAAGUCGAAUGGAAGAGACAAAUAGAAGAGAAAGUUCAAAAUGAAAGUGAACAACGAAACUGCCAAAAUGAAAUUUCAUUUCAUCAUAAUUCCAAAACUACCCUCCUCAGCAACGAUUUUUCAUUUAAGUAACAACAUCUAAUAGAAAUUUGACACCUGACCAUAUCAAAUUUGUG
rnacentral:lncRNA from 1 species